CAGUUAUCGUUUAUUUGAUAGUACCUUGCUACUUGGAUAACCGUGGUAAUUCUAGAGCUAAUACAUGCUAAAAAACCUCGACUUCGGAAGGGGUGUAUUUAUUAGAUAAAAAACCAAUGCCCUUCGGGGCUCCUUGGUGAUUCAUAAUAACUCAACGAAUCGCAUGGCCUUGCGCCGGCGAUGGUUCAUUCAAAUUUCUGCCCUAUCAACUUUCGAUGGUAGGAUAGUGGCCUACCAUGGUGUUAACGGGUAACGGGGAAUUAGGGUUCUAUUCCGGAGAGGGAGCCUGAGAAACGGCUACCACAUCCAAGGAAGGCAGCAGGCGCGCAAAUUACCCAAUCCCGACACGGGGAGGUAGUGACAAUAAAUACUGAUACAGGGCCCUUUCGGGUCUUGUAAUUGGAAUGAGUACAAUUUAAAUCCCUUAACGAGGAACAAUUGGAGGGCAAGUCUGGUGGACGAUUCAGUCUCGGCGGAGGGUGGGCUGCGGCCCCCCACGCUGGCGCCAGGAACAAGUUGCCCCCAAGCUCUCGUGAGCCUGAGGGUUGAUUUAGUGGGGCUUUAUGCUCUGCAAGGUGUUCGGCACGGGGAAGGGCCAUUUCUGGCUUCAUCCCGUGGGUGAGGGUCACUUGACCGCCACCCUUAACGCGCGCAAGGACGCCGGUGAGUUGAAGAUGCAUCUCACUUGAGGGACGUGCUUAUCCCGCCCGUAAAGGGUCAGAGUAGCCUGCAUGUAUAGGUACUCUUUAGGGGACGUUAUAGGCCAGCAGCCGCGGUAAUUCCAGCUCCAAUAGCGUAUAUUAAAGUUGUUGCAGUUAAAAAGCUCGUAGUUGAACCUUGGGCCUGGCUGGCCGGUCCGCCUCACCGCGUGCACUGGUCCGGCCGGGCCUUUCCUUCUGGGGAUCCACAUGCCCUUCACUGGGUGUGCCGGGGAACCAGGACUUUUACUUUGAAAAAAUUAGAGUGUUCAAAGCAGGCCUAUGCUCGAAUACAUUAGCAUGGAA
rnacentral:rRNA from 1 species